rfam:Ascochyta rabiei strain ArDII scaffold_122, whole genome shotgun sequence.
CCCGAAUUCGACUUGACACAAUAUCCUGCUGCGAUGUUGUGCGACCUGCAGUGUCAGUCGAUUUCGGG